AGGUAGUCUGGCUGUGACAUCUGUCAUCUCAUUGAUCACUCCUGUUACUUGCUUUGAUCUGUGUCGCUAGGUGGCUGACCCUUCUUUUAUACUUCCAAGUGCAUCCUUCCCAAAGCUAGCAACUCAGUAGAAGAAAAUAUCUUCCUAACAGGAGCAUAUUUCUUUAGCCAAGAAGGCGCAAGAAUUUUCAGUCUGUUGCUAGACCCUCAAGACAAGCUUUAAAGAGAAACUUCACUUAUGAGGCAUCAUAAUUCUUACCUGAAUAUGAUACUUGGUUAUGUACAUUUUUC
rnacentral:snRNA from 1 species